rfam:Triticum aestivum genome assembly, contig: Triticum_aestivum_CS42_TGACv1_scaffold_423300_5BS
UAUGUACUCCCUCCGUUCGGAAUUACUUGUCUCAAAAAUGGAUGUAUCUAAAACUAAAAACCGUCUAGAUACAUCCAUUUUUGCGAUAAUUAAUUCCGAACGGAGGGAGUAGAUU